rnacentral:rRNA from 1 species
AGAAUCAACGCUGGCGGCGUGCCUAACACAUGCAAGUCGAACGAGAAAGUGGUAGCAAUACCAUGAGUAAAGUGGCGCACGGGUGAGUAACACGUGACUAACCUACCCUGGAGUGGGGGAUAACUGAGGGAAACCUUAGCUAAUACCGCAUAAUACCUACGGGUCAAAGGAGCAAUUCGCUUCAGGAGGGGGUCGCGGCAGAUUAGCUAGUUGGCGGGGUAAUGGCCCACCAAGGCAGUGAUCUGUA